AAAUGUGAGGGUGACCUGGCUGUAACAUGUCACCCCAUUGAUUGCCGGGGUUGAUUUGGACAAACUGGCUAGGUGGGUGUCCACAUCCUCCUCAACGCUCCAUGUGUGUCCCUCCCCAAAGCUGCUCACUCGAAGAGAAUGACCAUCCCCAAUAGAAAAGGAAUGUUCCUCGGUCAAGGGUAGAUAAGUAGCUGUGCUCCCCUUCUAGAACUGCCAUAACCUGUCCCAAACAAGCUCUCAAAGAAAAUGCGCCCAUUGCAUUGUUGAGUGCAUAGAAAAUGCCGAAUAAAUACUGUUUGAGUGAAUGAAUUCAGCCACA
rnacentral:snRNA from 1 species